rnacentral:lncRNA from 1 species
AUUAACAAAGAUGUUUGUGAAAUAGUUAGUUUGGCAUCACAGUGAAGCUUGGCGAAGGGAUAUAUUGUGAGGCCUACAAGGCUGGAUGCACUGUAUCAAAGUGGUACCAUCCGAUGGACAUCCAUUUGUCAACUAAUACAUGACCAUAUUAGAGAAGUGUGCAUACACAAGGGCCCUAGCAUGUUCUAAAUGUGUACAUGGACGAUCAUUAAAUAUCCAGAUGAUUAUUCUGCAUAAACAAAGCCAUAUUGUCAUUUUAACAUAAGAAGCAAGAAGUGUCCCAUGACACAAAUAGCUGUUGUUUGUGCUGAGUAGCGAAUUCAUUAGUUAUGGGGCAUCAAGAAGAGCAACCGACACCCAUGUGUGGAAACAUACCUGUUCCAUAUAACCAAGUAGUAAACCCUUUCACCUUGCGAUGCACUGUGAUCAACGGCCUAGCACAAGCAUCCCAUAGCUCCUUGUAUAAUACGUCGUUAGAACUCCCUGUGCAAAGUAUUCAUUAUGUAGACGAAGCAUACAAUUCAAGGAACCUUUCACCUUAAUUUAUAGUGCCAGAUUCUAACCAUUGAUUAUGAGUUGAUUUAACCAGUAUUACCAUCUGAGCUGGCACUGCAUGCAGGCAUCCACCACUUGCCUGAUUCUCUGUCAGGCACAGUGAAAGCACCAGUCCAUCAACCUAGAAAGCAAUAUUAGUAAGUUACUUUUUCCUACAUAAUAAUGUCGGACCACUUCGAAUUAUAAGAAUUUGAUCACUAUUCUUAUGAAGAAACUACAUAACAAUGUCGGGCCGCCUCGAAUUAUAAGAACUUGAUCACUACUCUUAUUUACGAAAUGGGUGAAGUACUCAAAUACACGUCUCUAAUUCUUAGAAUCCACCCAGGAACUCAUUACUCUCCAUGGAAACUCAAUUCAGGCAGAACAUGCCGAGGAAACACAUAGCAACCAAAAACAACAAGCGAGGUAAAGGAACCGGACCUGAGGUAUUGAAAUUCACCAUCUCCGCCGCUCAACCCAAACGAUAGCCGGUCAUAAUUUAGCAACACGGGGCCGAUAUGCUCACCCCAUGCGCAGCUCCGUGGAUCUUGCCCCGCUCCGCGGCCAUGGCGACGGCCAACGCUAGCCACGCGCGACACUGCGGUUGCGAGCACGAGGCCAUGGAGGGGCUCAACGCGGUACAGGUGGCUCGCAGGUCGACCGUGCACAUUGGGUGUCGGCAGAGCUCACGCGUGAUUACCGCAGUGGGCGGCCAAGCGGAGCUCGCGACGCGACGGCGGAUGGUGCGUGCAGUGGCCGUGAGCGGGGACCUGUGGUGUGGCUGCUCCUCUGUAACUCACGCCGGCGAGCCGGCGAAUGCUAAGAAAAUAUCCUAACUGAGCUAACGCUAUUCUGUCCGC